GCAUUAAAUAGUCUCUGUUGAGAGACCUUUUAUUUAUUUAAAAACAUAAAUUAUGAAUUUCAAUCAAAUCAGCUGUAAUAGACAAUCUGGAAUUCUUUGUUUUUACUUAAAAUUUUAUUGCAUUUUGCAGUUUUUCUGUAAGUUUGAUAAUAAAAAAAUAUCCUUCUUUUCAUUACAAGUGCACCAUUGUUAGAGUAAAAUCAGUCGUGUUUUUUACAUUUUUACAAGAGAAUAACCAGGAAUAUGAUGAGAACCCUAAAUGAAUUGUCUGAUCUGAGAGAGACCAGGUUUGGUCAGCCGCCUCCCAGACACGGUCUGAUCUUGCUGUGGUGGUUUGCUCAUGAAUGUGUUCAGAUUGACUUUAAUGGACUGCACAGUGGGACCCUGCAAGUGGAGCUUUUGGCUUUAAUCGAUUCCAUAAUAUGGAUGGACCUCUUCUUGACACUAAUCUCCCAUACUAUGAGGUGGGAAACCUGAACAUCAACUGACUCACUGCCUGAAUAUGUCACUGAGGAUUACACAGGAUAUUUAGACGACAGCAAUACUGAUCGCAUCAUUGUUUUAUUUAAACCAAGCUGGUCAGCUCCACGAUUCAACAGGCUUUAUGUGGCACAGCACUCAGAUCAGCUUGUCUCUAUUUGGACAAAUGGCUUAUUUGGAUGCUAAAUGAACAUAAUCAAUGAUAAAGUAGUUCCUGUCACUAGUUCAGUGACAUCAGCAAAUACGCAGUGUUUUCAUGUCAUAUAAAUGAGGCAGUCAGUGCCAAAUAUCUAAAUAAGGUGUUUCACUACAAGAUAUGGUAGAUCAGUGCACUACAGAUUAACCCUUCAUCUCACUGCAAUAAUUUUGGAGGAUCAGUUUUUCUCAGUGUUUUAAUUAUUAUGGACAUGACAAGAACCCUGUAUGAUUUGUCUGAUCUGAAAGAGUCCAGGUUUGGCCGGCCGCCUCCCAGACACGGUCUGAACUUGCUGUGGUGGUUUGCUCAUAAAUGUGUUCAGAUCGACUCCAAUGGUCGUAUGAUUGCUCAGUGCGACCCUGAAAAUGGAGCUUUUGGCUUCCAUCGAUUCCAUAAUAGGGAGAGACUUCUUCCUUACAAUGACUUCCCAUACUAUGAAGUCGGCAACCUGGGGGACACUGACACACUGCCAAAUUAUGUCACUGAGGAUUACACUGGAUAUUUAGAUGACAGCAACACUGAUCGCAUCAUUGUUUCCUUUAACUCAGGGUUGAAGAGAUUUGACAGUGUUUAUGUGACACAGCACUCAGAUCAGGUUAGAUUUGACCAGAAUCACACUUACCGCAUUAGCUCUCAUCUCAUGAAAGCCAUUAAAAAUUUGAGCCGUGAGGAUUUCCUCAGAGAACCCAUGAAUCCUUCAGUAUAUAUAGACAUGCCAGUGCAGAAUGAAACCAGCUGUCUGAGUAAGAAAUGCUGCCAUGUGCUGAUUUGUGUCAUUGUCCUGUUGCUCAUUAUUGCUGCUAUUGUUUACUUUUCAUUGUGAAAAAUGAAAUAGUUUUCAUCCACUGCUGGUAACUAUUCUAGCCAUGCUGUAUGUUGUUCUAGCUCAUUUUGAAGCUGCAUGUUGCAGUUUGUUUCCUUUUGGUCAGUUGCUUACUGGAAUGAAAGGAAUUAAAUACAUUUACAUGUUUAUUAUACAGAAUAAAAUACAGUGUUGAGCAUUGCAUGUUUA